UGAGCAAUCUGCCCUUCUCUUCGGAAUAAGCGUUGGAAACGACGUCUAAUGCCGAAUACGACCUCCUUUCGCAUGAUCGGAGGUGGAAAGCUCCGGCGGAGAAGGAUGAGCUCGCGGCCUAUCAGCUAGUUGGUGUGGGUAAUGGCCCACCAUGGCGACGACGGGUAGCCGGCCUGAGAGGGUGACCGGCCACACGUGGGACUGAGACACGGCCCAGACCUCCGUACGGGAGG
rnacentral:rRNA from 1 species